rnacentral:rRNA from 1 species
AACGAACGCUGGCGGCAGGCCUAACACAUGCAAGUCGAACGGGACCUUCGGGUCUAGUGGCGGACGGGUGAGUAACGCGUGGGAACGUGCCCUUUGGUUCGGAAUAGCCCUGGGAAACUGGGAGUAAUACCGGAUACGGUCGAGAGACGAAAGAUUUAUCGCCGAAGGAUCGGCCCGCGUUGGAUUAGGUAGUUGGUGGGGUAAUGGCCUACCAAGCCGACGAUCCAUAGCUGGUUUGAGAGGAUGAUCAGCCACACUGGGACCGAGACACGGCCCAGACUCCUACGGGAGGCAGCAGUGGGGAAUCUUAGACAAUGGGGGAAACCCUGAUCUAGCCAUGCCGCGUGAGCGAUGAAGGCCUUAGGGUUGUAAAGCUCUUUCAGUGGGGAAGAUAAUGACGGUACCCACAGAAGAAGCCCCGGCUAACUCCGUGCCAGCCGCCGCCGUAA